rnacentral:tRNA from 1 species
GGAGGUAUAGCUCAGUGGUAGAGCAUGUGCUUAGCAUGCACAACGUCCUGGGUUCAAUCCCCAGUACCUCCA